rnacentral:tRNA from 1 species
UUAGGGAGACCUACCCGCAUUGAUGCUUGAACGCUAUGUGUCAUUAGAGCCAAUGUUGGUCAUCCCAAGGUCGUUCAAGGUUAAGUGUUGGCUUUCAAACUAGCUAGGUUUGGUUUAUGGGCUAUUAGCUCAGGUGGUUAGAGCGCACCCCUGAUAAGGGUGAGGUCCCUGGUUCGAGUCCAGGAUGGCCCACCUUUGAGAGCGGUCAGCCUGUGGUUGUAUCAGUUAAUCUUUAGGGAUAAAGCUGAUUAACUGAGUGUUGAUAGCUUUUCUGGGGGUUUAGCUCAGUUGGUAGAGCGCCUGCUUUGCAAGCAGGAUGUCAACGGUUCGAGUCCGUUAACCUCCACUGGGCAAUGAGUCUGAGUCUGAGACCUCGGGAUGUUAAUUUCAGCAACUCAUCUAGUGGUUUUGACUAGAGAGCCUGCUGGAUUUAGUUCCAGCCAGAACCUUGAAAACUGCAUAGUAACUUGUCAGGUAGAAAAGAUGAGUAGGUGUUUGUAGCUUUGUGAGCAGUGUUAGCACUGUUGACUGGUUACGGCAGGUUAUUUAUCGAAUCACAGACACCAAUGAGAUUGAUAGU